UUGGGUGGCCAGCCUUGCUGAAUUAUUCCACCCGUGUCUUUUGCGUACUUCUUGUUUCCUUGGUGGGCUCGCCCACCACAAGGACCAACCCAUAAACCUUUUUGCAAUGGCAAUCAGCGUCAGUAACAAUGUAAUAAUUUACAACUUUCAACAACGGAUCUCUUGGUUCUGGCAUCGAUGAAGAACGCAGCGAAAUGCGAUAAGUAGUGUGAAUUGCAGAAUUCAGUGAAUCAUCGAAUCUUUGAACGCACAUUGCGCCCUUUGGUAUUCCAAAGGGCAUGCCUGUUCGAGCGUCAUUUGUACCCUCAAGCUUUGCUUGGUGUUGGGCGUCUUUUUGUCUCCCCUUGCGGGAGACUCGCCUUAAAGUCAUUGGCAGCCGGCCUACUGGUUUCGGAGCGCAGCACAAGUCGCGCUCUCUUCCAGCCCCAAGGUCUAGCAUCCACCAAGCCUUUUUUUUCAACUUUUGACCUCGGAUCAGGUAGGGAUACCCGCUGAACUUAAG
rnacentral:rRNA from 1 species